rnacentral:tRNA from 1 species
AAAAUGUUGGUUAAUUUCCCUCUUUUACUA